rnacentral:lncRNA from 12 species
UUGUUUAUGGCCUAAAUUAAAAGUUAAAGAUCAGGGAUUUAACAGCUGUUGUGGCUUUACAAUGAGAGUCAAACAUUUCUGAUCCCAUCACCGAAUUGCUUCCAUUUCCUGAAAUGCCUACUUCACAUGAGCAGCUUGCGAGAUAGUGGGCGGGGCGUGUUCUGGGCGUGUGCGUGCUGACCCAAUCAUCUCGCGAAUCCUAGCGCAUGGGGUGAGUCGCCCCGCCCCCUUCACUCACGCUUCUGAAAGAGUCUGUCUGCAUGCUCAUGUCUCGCAGAAUCAGAGACGCGACAGAAGCCCAUAAGAAGCGUUGUUUUAUCAACUCUCCUUUUGAAAGGACCCGUGGGAUCAAAAGUAUUUUAAUCAGUCUUCCUCUUAAGUUGGACACGUAUUUGGAUAUAUCCCGCGGUAUUUGUCAGUUGUCCCAACCGAAAUGGAGGAGUUUAUUCUCUCGGAUCAGACCGUUUCAUGCGACUAGACAGUCUCCAUCUGUCCCAUCUGCACGACAGGACGGAGAACAUCACUGGACAUUUACGGAUAGAAACUGGACGACACGCCGUGAUUUGAAUGCCUUUGCGAGGACUUUGCUGGCUUGUGUGCUGCAGACAAGGCUUCAGUUUGCUGGCUCGGGAUCAUGGGGAGAAAGAGGAGGAAGAGUCUUUCGAGUUACGCAAUCAGGACGAGCACACACACACGGGACGGGGGCAACUAGAGGUCACUCUGUCUCAGCCCACUCGCACAGCCAACGGCACACCCUGUCUCUCAGGAGUUCCUGA